AUACGGAGGAUGCAAGCGUUAUCCGGAUUUAUUGGGUUUAAAGGGUGCGUAGGCGGAUGAUUAAGCGUGAGGUGAAAUGCCACUGCUCAACAGUGGAACUGCCUCGCGAACUGGUUGUCUUGAAUGCUCCUGCCGUGGGAGGAAUGUGUGGUGUAGCGGUGAAAUGCAUAGAGAUCACACAGAACACCGAUUGCGAAGGCAUCUCACGAAGAGGUGAUUGACGCUGAGGCACGAAAGCGUGGGGAUCAAACAGGAUUAGAUCCCCUGGUAGUCCACGCAGUAAACGAUGAUAACUAACCGCUGGGUCGUAGUGAUUCAGUGGCCAAGCGAAAGCGAUAAGUUAUCCACCUGGGGAGUACGACCGCAAGGUUGAAACUCAAAUGAAUUGACGGGG
rnacentral:rRNA from 1 species